rnacentral:rRNA from 1 species
GACGAACGCUGGCGGCGUGCCUAACACAUGCAAGUGGAGCGACGAACCGGGCUUGCCCGGGGCAAAGCCGCGAACGGGUGAGUAACACGUGGGUAACCUGCCUCAAAGAUUGGGACAACCUGAGGAAACUCGGGCUAAUACCGCAUAUUUUCAUCUCUCAUAAGUGAGAUGAGCAAAGGGAGCUUCGGCCCCCGCUUUGAGAUGGGCCCGCGGCACAUUAGCUUGUUGGGGAGGUAAAAGCUCACCAAGGCAACGAUGGGUAGCUGGUCUGGGAGGACGCUCAGCCACAAUGGGACUGAGAAGCGGCGCAGACUCCUACGGGAGGCAGCAGUGGGGAAUCUUGCGCAAUGUACGACAGUAUGACGCAGCAACGCCGCGUGAGGGAAGACGGCUUUCGGGUUGUAAACCUCUUUCAGUUGGGACGAAGCUUGGACUGUGAAUAGCUGAUCCAAGUGACGGUACCUUCAGAAGAAGCCCCGGCUAACUACGUGCCAGCCGCCGCCGUAA